GGGGAUGACUGGCUUCGACGGAGGAGGCUGGUCCCGGACUGCGAGCCGAGAGGCGCCGACCUCGAUAACUCAGCGCAACCAAUUAAGUGCCAACCGCACUAACACCUAUGCUGCUUUGCCCCUCGCCGCCUAGUGCAGUGAGCUAACAAGCGCAUAAUGGCCCCUCAAGUGGGCCACGUCCGCCCAUCACCGCCCUCUGACCGGGGAUGGAGCGGGCGUCACAAAAGUCAGAGUGCCAUCUGUAGACGCCGCUAAGCAGGUGAAAGAGGGGCUUUCGGGUCCCAGCGGAUGGUUGGAUGGAGCCUUUGGUCGAUUGUAGGCCAUCCAGCGACAACCCACAAGCGACUACGCUCGUAGACGUGCGCGGAACGAUUCUUUCGGACGCGGGUUCGAUUCCCGCCAUCUCCACAA
rnacentral:tmRNA from 1 species